UACGUAGGGGGCGAGCGUUAUCCGGAAUUACUGGGCGUAAAGCGCACGCAGGCGGUUCGCCAAGUUUGGAGUGACAGUUGUCGGCUCAACCGACAAAGGACUUCAAAAACUGGUGAACUUGAGGACGAGAGAGGAACAUGGGAACUCCAGGUGUAGUAGUGAAAUGCGUAGAUAUCUGGAAGAACACCAAUGGCGAAGGCAAUGUUCUGGCUCGUUUCUGACGCUCAGGUGCGAAAGCCAGGGGAGCGAACGGG
rnacentral:rRNA from 1 species